UCGGCCUACGGGACGCAGCAGUGAGGAAUAUUGGUCAAUGGGCGCGAGCCCGAACCAGCCAAGUGGCGUGAAGGAUGACUGCCCUACGGGUUGUAAACUUCUUUUAUAAAGGAAUAAAGUGAGGCACGUGUGCCUUUUUGUAUGUACUUUAUGAAUAAGGAUCGGCUAACUCCGUGCCAGCAGCCGCGGUAAUACGGAGGAUGCGAGCGUUAUCCGGAUUUAUUGGGUUUAAAGGGUGCGCAGGCGGCCUGUUAAGUCAGCGGUAAAAGCCCGGGGCUCAACCCCGGCGAGCCGUUGAAACUGGG
rnacentral:rRNA from 1 species